CACAAAAUGGCCUUAUCCCUGGCUGCAGCACUGAGGGUGUCUUCAGGUAUGUCUCAUAACAGCAAGGAAUUGCUGAGAUGAUUAUUUAUGACAGCUGGCUCAGUUGUAACUUGCCCGUUGCCUUUCAUUACAGGGGAGGCAGGAGUGUUUGCUCUUUCCACUCCAAUCCUAUCUGCCAAGAACAUGCCAGUUCCUUUCGUCCUCCUCCCACCGCUCCCUUUCUAUGUGUGAUCAUCCUGCUCAGCCUUGGUUAAACAAUGUAUGGAAGGCAAAAGAAGAAACAGCUUUGAUGUCCAGUAUGCAUGCUAUCCGAUAACUGAAUUGGAGCCUUCAAUUCUUAAAUGUGUGGCAUUUUGAUGGGGCCUAUGGAAUAGCAAACCAGAGGGAGUAGAGGACAAAAGAUACGUGAGACACAAAUGCAGUCUACAAAGGUAAAGGUAAAGGACCCCUGGAUGGUUAAGUCCAGUCAAAGGCAACUAUGGGGUUGCAGCACUCAUUUCGCUUUCAGGCUGAGGGAGGCGGUGUUUGUCCACAGACAGCUUUCCGGGUCAUGUGGCCAGCAGGACUAAACCACUUCUGACAUAAUUCUGACAGUGCACAGAAAGACCAUUUGCCUUCCCGCCACAGCAGUACCUAUUUAUCUACUUGCACUGACAUGCUUUCGAACUGCUAUGUUGGCAGGAGCUGGGACAGAGCAACGGGAGCUCACCCCGUCGCAGGGAUUUGAACCGCCGACCUUCUGAUCAGCAAGCCCAAGAGGCUCAGUGGUUUACACCACAGAAUUUAGCUGGAUACAACUCAUGUUUUUUAACUGUUUCCCCACCAGCUGUUUUCCCACUCAAAAACUCCUCCCGCCACCUGCGUAUUCCAUGGUGGAUUUUUGGGUAUGCUGUAAUACUUCCAUUAGAGAAACAAACUUCAUUAUUGCUUGCAAGUAAGGAUGGGGGAAAAAUUCAAUCCAGUUCACAUUUAAAGGUCAAUCUGCCUAAUUUGCACUUUCUGACAUGGUACGGGGACUGAAACACAGCCG